GACGAACGCUGGCGGCGUGCUUAACACAUGCAAGUCGAACGGAAAGGCCUGCUUUCCCUUGUGGAUUGCGGGUACUCGAGUGGCGAACGGGUGAGUAACACGUGAGUGAUCUGCCCCCAACUUGGGUAUAAGCCUGGGAAACUGGGUCUAAUUCCCGAUAGGACUGCAGGGUGGUGCCUGUGGUGGAAAACGAUUUUCUAGUGGUUGGGGAUGAGCUCGCGGCCUAUCAGCUUGUUGGUGGGGUAAUGGCCUACCAAGGCGGCGACGGGUAGCCGGCCUGGGAGGGUGGACGGCCACAUUGGGACUGAGAUACGGCCCAGACUCCUACGGGAGGAAGCAGUGGGGAAUAUUGCACAAUGGGCGGAAGCCUGAUGCAGCGACGCCGCGUGGGGGAUGACGGCCUUCGGGUUGUAAACUCCUUUCGACCGCGAGGAAGCCACCUGGUUGGAAGGGUGGUGACGGUAGUGGUAGAAGAAGCACCGGCUAACUACGUG
rnacentral:rRNA from 1 species